rnacentral:misc_RNA from 1 species
UGGAAUUGGUUUUUUUGGAGAAGUCUUUCGCGGUAUUUGGAAUGGAACAGAGGUUGCAGUCAAAGUUUUCCUAGAACAAGAAUUGACUGAAGAGAACAUUGAAGAUUUUGCCAAUGAAAUAUCCAUCCUGAGCCGCAUUCGCCACCCAAAUGUUAUCCUAUUCCUCGGUGCUUGCACAACUCCACCUCGAUUGUCCGUGGUUACUGAAUUCAUG